rnacentral:lncRNA from 1 species
UAUUUGUGGGGUGUGGGAUGCAAGAAGUCAGCACCAGACUGGGGAUCCCAGAGACCUUUUCAUAAGUGUGAUGCCAAGUGGCCAGUGACUCCCCAUCCUAGAGCCAGAGAAGACAAUGAUCUUGAUUCCCAGGUUUCCCAGAAGGCCCUGGGCCAGUUCCCAGCCCCAGACCAGAUCCUCUUUCAAGAGCAUCUCUGUGACCAAGAUCACUCAGGCAGAUCGGGUAGUGGAGGAGCACGGACAGGUGGACAGUGAAGGCCGAGGGGACCACAGCAACCUUUCAAGGAACAGACAGCAGUCCUAGAGAUG